CGAGCGGCGGACGGGUGAGUAAUGCAUAGGAAUCUGCCCGGUAGUGGGGGAUAACGUGGGGAAACCCACGCUAAUACCGCAUACGUCCUACGGGAGAAAGCGGGGGAUCUUCGGACCUCGCGCUAUCGGAUGAGCCUAUGUCGGAUUAGCUAGUUGGUAAGGUAACGGCUUACCAAGGCGACGAUCCGUAGCUGGUCUGAGAGGAUGAUCAGCCACACUGGGACUGAGACACGGCCCAGACUCCUACGGGAGGCAGCAGUGGGGAAUAUUGGACAAUGGGCGAAAGCCUGAUCCAGCCAUGCCGCGUGUGUGAAGAAGGCUUUCGGGUUGUAAAGCACUUUCAGCGAGGAAGAAAGCCUCUGGAUUAAUACCCCAGAGGAAGGACAUCACUCGCAGAAGAAGCACCGGCUAACUCCGUGCCAGCAGCCGCGGUAAUACGGAGGGUGCGAGCGUUAAUCGGAAUUACUGGGCGUAAAGCGCGCGUAGGUGGCUUGGUAAGCCGGUUGUGAAAGCCCCGGGCUCAACCUGGGAACGGCAUCCGGAACGGCCAGGCUAGAGUGCAGGAGAGGAAGGUAGAAUUCCCGGUGUAGCGGUGAAAUGCGUAGAGAUCGGGAGGAAUACCAGUGGCGAAGGCGGCCUUCUGGCCUGACACUGACACUGAGGUGCGAAAGCGUGGGUAGCAAACAGGAUUAGAUACCCUGGUAGUCCACGCCGUAAACGAUGUCGACUAGCCGUUGGGACCUUUAAGGACUUAGUGGCGCAGUUAACGCGAUAAGUCGACCGCCUGGGGAGUACGGCCGCAAGGUUAAAACUCAAAUGAAUUGACGGGGGCCCGCACAAGCGGUGGAGCAUGUGGUUUAAUUCGAUGCAACGCGAAGAACCUUACCUACCCUUGACAUCCAGAGAAGUUGGCAGAGAUGCCUUCGGUGCCUUCGGGAGCUCUGAGACAGGUGCUGCAUGGCUGUCGUCAGCUCGUGUUGUGAAAUGUUGGGUUAAGUCCCGUAACGAGCGCAACCCUUGUCCUUAUUUGCCAGCGAGUAAAGUCGGGAACUCUAAGGAGACUGCCGGUGACAAACCGGAGGAAGGUGGGGACGACGUCAAGUCAUCAUGGCCCUUACGGGUAGGGCUACACACGUGCUACAAUGGCCGGUACAAAGGGUUGCGAGACCGCGAGGUGGAGCGAAUCCCAGAAAGCCGGCCUCAGUCCGGAUCGGAGUCUGCAACUCGACUCCGUGAAGUCGGAAUCGCUAGUAAUCGUGAAUCAGAAUGUCACGGUGAAUACGUUCCCGGGCCUUGUACACACCGCCCGUCACACCAUGGGAGUGGACUGCACCAGAAGUGGUUAGC
rnacentral:rRNA from 1 species